rnacentral:misc_RNA from 1 species
GAAAUGCGAUAAGUAAUGUGAAUCACAGAAUUCAGUGAAUCAUCGAAUCUUUGAACGCACCUUGCGCUCCUUGGUAUUCCUUGGAGCAUGCCUGUUUGAGUAUCAUGAAAUCUUCAAAGUAAAUCUUUUGUUAACUCAAUUGGUUUCUACUUUGGUAUUGGAGGUCUUUGCAGCUUCACACCUGCUCCUCUUUGUUCAUUAGCUGGAUCUCAGUGUUAUGCUUGGUUCCACUCGGCGUGAUAAGUUAUCUAUCGCUGAGGACACUGUAAAAGGUGGCCAAGGUAAAUGCAGAUGAACCGCUUCUAAUAGUCCAUUGACUUGGACAAUACUUUUAUGAUCUGAUCUCAAAUCAGGUAGGACUACCCGCUGAACUUAAGC